rnacentral:rRNA from 1 species
UACGUAGGGUGCGAGCGUUAAUCGGAAUUACUGGGCGUAAAGCGUGCGCAGGCGGUUCGUUGUGUCGGUGGUGAAAUCCCCGGGCUUAACCUGGGAAUGGCCAUGGAAACUGGCGAACUGGAGUGCGGCAGAGGGGGGUGGAAUUCCGCGUGUAGCAGUGAAAUGCGUAGAGAUGCGGAGGAACACCGAUGGCGAAGGCAGCCCCCUGGGCUGAGAUUGACGCUCAGGCACGAAAGCGUGGGGAGCAAACAGG